rnacentral:misc_RNA from 1 species
GCUUGAUUAUCCAAAGCUCUUACUGGUCUGCCUAUUUCAGUAUUGAGAUUCAUAAUGCAUUCUACUGGUUUCUGUAGUGACUUCACCUCAGACAGAGCUCCAUUAUUUGCUUUUGCAUUGGAAGGACUAGGAAAAAUACCUACAUUAUUAUCUCCCUUCUUUCCUAUCCAAGCCUUUGGCAGUCCUUCUGAUCUUUUCCUUGAGCUUCUUUUUCUUCGCACAGCGGCAAUUAUCGCAUUCUUGAGCAGAUCAUGCGAAUCCAACUCUGACUGUUUCC